UUCUCUUUUUUUUCUUAGUAGGACACUCCUUCUCUAGGCAAUAUUCUAAAGUUUUAUGUUUGCACUAAAUAAAUGAAUUCUUAUAUAACAUCAUAUAUGUCCCUUGUGUUUUGCAGACCUGCAAAGUCACAGAUUGGAAAACAGUGCACUAACAGAAUGGCUGAACAACAGGGGUUACCUUCAGGGAUUCUGAUCUUAUUCACAGGAAAGAGGAAAAAUCAGGGCAAGCUGGCAGCUCACCAGCUUCAUUUACAGUGUGAGGACUGGGCUGGUACUGAUCACCAAGAUGGCCAAAGACCUGUCCUCUGUGUAGAGCCAACACAAGCAGAGCUGCUGAUGAGGUGAUAAAGGCUUCAAUGUGGCACUGAGGUGGCAAUGUGUUAACUCCAGCAACCACAGGAGAUGUCAGCAAGCAUAAGGUGCUUGUAGGAGGGCUGGCAAAUGAAGGCCUCUCAUUAAUCUCUUACAGAUGAAUGAUGCCUUUGCUCCAUCUUACGGAGGUGUUUAAGGUGUCAACUUGUCUUAUGUUAUUAUCCAAAGUACAAGAACCUGCACUGAGAUCAGAAAAGCUGCCACUGGAGGUGCACUCCCUUGCUUCUCAGUGGAGUGUGGCUUGAUCUUCUCUAGCACAGCUAGAGGAGAGGAGGAAACUUCACAGAGGGAAUCUAUUUCUUCUGUACAGUAACCUAGAAUUUUAGAGUUCAAGUAAGUAUUCAGCUGAGCUUCUAAAAAGAAUAUAACUGCUAGUCUUUCUAAGUACUGAUUAAGCUUUUAAGAACUGUAAGAGCCUUAAUUGUGUAUUUUAUUUUUUCACAUGCGGAUGUAUUAUUACGACAAUUAACAACAGAUUUCUAACUUCAAGCCAUGACUGUGUGUGGUAACUUCUCCAAAGAGUAGAUUCCAAACAAUCUACAAACAUCCACUGAAGAACAACUUCCAGAGUAAGCCCUCUUGAGAAGAUAAAAAAGGAGAACAGUCACUAUACAACAGACCAACAUCAGAAGCACAGUAAACAGGAGAAUGACCAUGAGCCAGAACUUACAUGUGCCUUAAUGAAAAUUCCUUAAAUUACAUCCAGAUCUCUUUCCUGGUCUUCAAUUAUGCAAGUGGAAAUAGUGAAAUGGAAAAAACAUGUAAGUCCUUUUAAUAUAUUAGACAAUGGAAAAUGAUGUGGCAAUACUUCCUUUUUAUACUGACUUGGAGCUUAAUUCAGUGUUUAUGCACUAAAAUGACAUUUCUCUUCAAAAUCUGUACUUCUGGGGGAAAAGAAAGUAGAAAACUUACUUUUCACGCAGUGAACAAUGAUGUCAACAAAAACAGUGAUGGCAAAUGCACGAGAUUUUCAAACCACAGCAUUAGAGACUUCUUUGAGAAAAGAAAAUAUACACUAAGGGUGAUAUUUGUAUGUUUCUCUGACAGCUGGAUCUUUCUUUAUUCAAGAUUCAAUUUUCACGAGUUGGUGUUGUGCUGUUAAGUCUUCCUGCGCAUUCUGUAAAGCUUUUCUGCUUUCCUGGUCCUGGUAUCAUUCUCAUGUUACUCAGAUGACCUGAACUAAACUAUAAAAUAUACCCCUGCAGUUAACAGUUUAAUAAUAUGCUGAUAUUUGUUUCUGUUAUUGCUCUCAAGAAAAAAAUCUUGGACAUUUUUUUUUUUAAGAUGUCAUAAUAAUUCAGUACUCACAAAAUCAACGU